GGUGGGGACGGGGAGGGUGGCGGGGGAAUGCGUGGGGUGCGAGCGGUGGCCGGAAUGAUUGGGCGUAAAGAGCUUGUAGGCGGGUUGUGGCGUCUGCAGUGAAAAUCCGGGGCUCAACCCCGGACUUGCUGUGGGUACGGGCAGACUAGAGUGUGGUAGGGGAGACCGGAAUUCCUGGUGUAGCGGUGGAAUGCGCAGAUAUCAGGAGGAACACCGAUGGCGAAGGCAGGUCGCUGGGCCACAACUGACGCUGAGAAGCGAAAGCAUGGGGAGCGAACAGGAUUAGAUACCCCAGUAGUC
rnacentral:rRNA from 1 species